GAUGAACGCUGGCGGCGUGCCUAAUACAUGCAAGUAGAACGCUGAAGGAGGAGCUUGCUCUUCUGGAUGAGUUGCGAACGGGUGAGUAACGCGUAGGUAACCUGCCUGGUAGCGGGGGAUAACUAUUGGAAACGAUAGCUAAUACCGCAUGACAACAGUUAUUGCAUGAUAACUGUUUAAAAGGGGCAACUGCUCCACUACCAGAUGGACCUGCGUUGUAUUAGCUAGUUGGUGAGGUAACGGCUCACCAAGGCGACGAUGCAUAGCCGACCGGAGAGGGGGAUCGGCCACGCUGGGACUGAGACACGGCCCAGACUCCUACGGGAGGCAGCAGUAGGGAAUCUUCGGCAAUGGACGGAAGUCUGACCGAGCAACGCCGCGUGAGUGAAGAAGGUUUUCGGAUCGUAAAGCUCUGUUGUAAGAGAAGAACGAGUGUGAGAGUGGAAAGUUCACACUGUGACGGUAUCUUACCAGAAAGGGACGGCUAACUACGUG
rnacentral:rRNA from 1 species